rnacentral:rRNA from 1 species
GACGAACCGUGCGAACGUUGUUCGGAUUCACUGGGCUUAAAGGGCGCGUAGGCGGGCCGUCGAGUCGGGGGUGAAAUCUUUCAGCUCAACUGGAAAAGGGCUUCCGAUACCGACGGUCUCGAGGGGGGUAGGGGCAUCCGGAACUUCCGGUGGAGCGGUGAAAUGCGUAGAUAUCGGGAGGAACACCGGUGGCGAAGGCGGUUCUCUGGGCCUUACCUGACGCUGAGGAGCGAAAGCGUGGGGAGCGAACAGG